rnacentral:rRNA from 1 species
UACGAAGGGGGCUAGCGUUGCUCGGAAUCACUGGGCGUAAAGCGCACGUAGGCGGAUUGUUAAGUCAGGGGUGAAAUCCUGGAGCUCAACUCCAGAACUGCCUUUGAUACUGGCGAUCUCGAGUCCGGGAGAGGUGAGUGAAACUGCGAGUGUAGAGGUGAAAUUCGUAGAUAUUCGCAAGAACACCAGUGGCGAAGGCGGCUCACUGGCCCGGUACUGACGCUGAGGUGCGAAAGCGUGGGGAGCA